rnacentral:sRNA from 1 species
CAUCAAGUGUGUGUGCGGGAACAACAUUGCCGUUGUUUCUGAUGCCGAGGGCUUGGAAAUGGGAUACGGUUUAUGGUACGAGUAUACGGAGGCGGGGGAACGGGAUAUGUCUUUUUUUUCAAAUGCCAGCCACAAGAGCUGGAGUGUUAAAGGGGCGAAGGGAUCAACAGGAGGAUCAGGAACAGUGCUGGAUACGGUAUUCCCUCACAGGCGUUCCUCACAACUGGGAAACUCACAACUGGGAAACUCACAACAAUAACUGUAGCGUAAAGAAGUCUUGAACUUUUAUAUACACUGGAUUGGCAAGCAGACGGAUCAGAAUCAGUAAUGGAAUAGAAUGGAACGCCUUGGGAAGGGUUUCUCUCGGGAGAAACCGGUACUCGGUACUCGGUACUAGAAAGUCAAGCCGAAUCAGGAUCAGAUCAUAUACAUAUAUAUGGCGUUUCUAUCUUUCUCGAGCGCUCACCACCACUGACACUGCAGGGGCUUGAAUGCAACCAAAGAUCUUUCUAAAUGUUACCAAGACUUUUCAGUUCAAAGAAGUUGGAUAAGGAGAAGAAUAGCAGUUGGAAUGGAAUGGUAAAGGCGUCUAGGCAUAAACCCUCAGACUCAGACAAGAUACACUUUUCGCUGGCGAAGUGUGAUGUAAGUACAGUAGAAUCCGGUUAUAACGACUCUGCUUAUUCGAUGACUUGGUUGGCCCCCAUGCAAACUUAUAUGAAAGAGCCUCCGCUUAAUAUAUGUAUAUGCAUAUAUCAGUGAUCGGCAACGAUUUCAAAGGAAGAACUGGCUGAAUAUGUUCUUAUUGACAAUGCUGUGGCGUUUUGUGAGGACCCUUCCGAAAACAACAUUGUUAAAAAUAUAUUAGAUAACGGACAGGACAGCGACGGCAACGUCGAAGAUCAAAAUGAAGCGUUUUGGAGGCAUUUAAGACUGCAGAAAUUCGGAAUCCAUAGCAUAGCAUGACUAGUUUAAAUAAUGCCGUGCGCUACUGUUUUUAUAUAUCAGAAACUACUGCUAAA